GCAGCAUUAGUUUACACAAGGAAAGCGUUAGAAGCUAUUUGUCAUUGGUGACAGACCCAAGGGGCAGAGGAGAGACUUGGGAGGCUUUGCGUAGCACCAAAGGCUGGUAGUGGGCAAGGACAGCAGACAGAGGAGGUGACAGGGUUGGGUCAGGCAUGGACACCCCUCCCCAAAGAUGGCCUGCACAUUAUCUGAAGUACCCAACAGUGACAUCCUCCAGAUAAAACACAACACGGUUACAUCAGUCUGCCUGAUCACUCCCUGAAAUUUAUUUUUUUUUUCCCCCAAGCAGGACCAGCUGCUUUUUGCUUUGAAGAGCCAGGGAAAUGUGCUCAUCAUGACUUGCCUUCUUUGUGUCUGGAUUAAAGGUUGCAUAGCAGCAGGGAGCAAGCACUUGGCUCCCCCGCAGUCAAUAAGAAGAAGCUGCAAAACUUGUCCCAUCCACACAAUUAAUAUUUCAAACUGAACCAAAACCCCAGUACAUCAUUUCCUCGUCAUUACAAAGAGCAAAGACAGGAACAGCCACAUUCGGGUUCCACUUUAAACCCAACUCCUUGGCCACUUUCAUGCGCUUUUUUUUUUCCCCUCCCUACGCAUACAAGCAAUUUCAUUGUGGUAAGCAAAGUGCCUAGGAAAGGUGUGGGGGUGGGUAGAGAGGGAUGUAACAGCUAUUUGUCCCUUAGAGUGACAACCUCACACCAGAAGCAAGAUGCAACUUGCUGCUGACCCUGACAGCUCUCCCCAGCUGAACAGGAGCUGCGUGCAGAACAGACAACGUGAAAUCUUCCGGAAAAGUAAGCUGCACAGCAAAACUCACUGUCGCUUCCCAUCAAGCGUGUUGAAUCCUUUAUUUCCAAAGCGCUGCUCGUAACCCAUCUCAGUGUGACACAAGAAAGAGCUGGUGCUGCCAGAUCCCUCUCCCACUUUGCCCCUCUCCCCUGCCUACAGGGAGGCUGAGGCUGAGCCCCUUCCCCAGGCCGCUAUGCCCACACCAGCACGACACCUCCCAGACACGAUGGCCACACCAGCUGUGUCCCCACAGCAUCGGUCCUCUCAUCCCUGUGUUACCCAGUGCUCCCGCAGCCCCAGAUUCACCCCCGGACUCACCUUUCCAGCACUUUGCAGCACGGCCUGGUCCCUCUAGCCCGACUUCUCCCCACAGGGAGGCUGCUUGGCACAAACCCCCCACCAGUCCCCACAGCUCCCCCACACAGGAGCACGGCCGCAC
rnacentral:lncRNA from 1 species